rnacentral:lncRNA from 1 species
ACAAUUGUCUAAUAAUAUAAAAAAUUUAAGAUACAGUUCAUUGCUUUAUCCUAAAAGUAAAUGAACUGUAGUCUUAAUUCAAAACUGAAUGUUAUUCCUCAAAACAUGAGAAACUGCCUUUUUCUCUCCUUUCCUUUUGUACUGUGAAGAUGUGCACUGGCCCCAGCUACUGUAUUUAGCGAUAACAGAAGUACGUGACUGUUUAAAUGCUGUCAUUUGGAAAUAGCUUACCUUUCUUUCUCCUAAACAAAGAUAGAAUUUUGUCUUUAUGUAUGGAGGAUUAUGGCUGACUGUCAUUUUGACAAUCAACAAAUCCAGAUGGAUACUUGGAAUUGAUAUGGUGAGUUCACAAAUGAAAAAUUAGCCGAAGUUUUUGCAAACAUGUGAAAAACUGGUCCCAUAAAACAUGCAGAGAGAAGUUUGUGCCAGAAAUAACAAACCAAGAGGAACAACUGCUUUAAGGCCUUGGCACCUUUAAGGCAGACUGUGAAGGUCACUUACAAAAUGAUAUUCUUAACCC